rnacentral:rRNA from 1 species
GCGGACGGGUGAGUAACGCGUGAGAAUCUGCCCUCAGGACGGGGACAACAGCUGGAAACGGCUGCUAAUACCCGAUGUGCCGAGAGGUGAAACAUUUAUGGCCUGAGGAUGAGCUCGCGUCUGAUUAGCUAGUUGGUGGGGUAAAAGCCUACCAAGGCGACGAUCAGUAGCUGGUCUGAGAGGAUGAUCAGCCACACUGGGACUGAGACACGGCCCAGACUCCUACGGGAGGCAGCAGUGGGGAAUUUUCCGCAAUGGGCGCAAGCCUGACGGAGCAAGACCGCGUGCGGGAGGACGGCCUAUUGGUUGUAAACCGCUUUUGAUAGGGAAGAAGUUCUGACGGUACCUAUCGAAUCAGGCAUCGGCUAACUCCGUGCCAGCAGCCGCGGUAAUACGGAGGAUGCAAGCGUUAUCCGGAAUUAUUGGGCGUAAAGCGUCCGUAGGUGGUUGUUCAAGUCUGCUGUUAAAGCGUGCGGCUUAACCUGCAUACCAGCAGUGGAAACUGGGCAACUAGAGUGCGGUAGGGGUCAGGGGAAUUCCCAGUGUAGCGGUGAAAUGCGUAGAUAUUGGGAAGAACACCGGUGGCG